GGACGUAAUUAUAGGGUAUUUGAAACGAAAAUUUGCAGGGAUUCAAAGAAUAUGACCAGGGUUGAUAGAAGGUUGGACAAAGAAGACUACUUUCGACAAAAAAAAAAUUGAAAAAAAAAAACUUAGUAGUUUUGACACUAUUAGGGUUUGAGUAGGGCCUACAUAAAGUCGGACAGAAAUCCCAUCUGGCAAUCAAGUUUGCCGUCAACACACAUAUUGUGAUUUGAAAUUCAAGUAUGGUCAAAUCACAAUACUGAAAAAACUACUCAUUUUAUCGUCAAAUGGUUGUCAAAAGUAGUCUUCAGGCCGACCUUAUGUAGGCUUUGGUUUAAGUAUCAUUAAAUUUUCAAAAUAUUUCAAAAAAUAUAUAUUUUUUAAUUUUAUUGAAAUUUCGACUUAUUUCCUUAAAUCUGUUUUUGGAAGUAAAAUUUUCCUACAGCCAUUUUUACAAAAAUAUAUCAAGUGUCUUUGAAUAAAACUCAAAGGUGCCACGAUGAUGUCGAUGCAAAUAUGAACCUGGAUACGACAUCGCAUUGUGGGCAACCAUUCGAAAUAUUGGCUGAAAUAUGUGUUUUACAAAGCCUUUGGAAAAUGUGGCAGAAAACUUCAAAAUUCUUGAAACAAGGAAAUAUCCACAACCCAAAUUUUCGACUCACUUUGAUACUUUGGCACGUGAAUUCUGGCACCAAACAAAUCGAUAUUGUCUGACUGAAUUCGGGCUGCCUUCUGCACCGUCUGAACAAUGAUCUAUGAACCAGCAGAAGUUGAAAAAUGGCAUAACCAAAGAAGAGAACAACAGCAACAGCCACGGUUUACAACAUUUUUCAAAUGUCUGUUUUAAUUGAGAUUUUGAAAAGCAAAAAUGC